rnacentral:rRNA from 1 species
GAUGAACGCUGACAGAAUGCUUAACACAUGCAAGUCGACGGGGAAGUGGUGCUUGCACCAUGGCAACCAUGGCGGACGGGUGAGUAACGCGUAAGGGACUUACCUGCAGGACUGGGAUAACAGGGGGAAACUCCUGACAAGACCGGAUAAUGUCAUGGAGCUGCAUGGCUUUAUGAUGAAAGGAGACGCCUGCGGAGAGCCUUGCGUCCUAUUAGCUAGUUGGUGAGGUAAUGGCUCACCAAGGCGAAGAUAGGUAGCCGGCCUGAGAGGGUGGACGGCCACAAGGGGACUGAGAUACGGCCCUUCCUCCUACGGGAGGCAGCAGUGGGGAAUAUUGGACAAUGGGGGCAACCCUGAUCCAGCACUUCUGUGUGCACGAAGAAGGUUUUCGGAUUGUAAAGUGCUUUCAGCAGGGAAGAAGUAAGUGACGGUACCUUCAGAAGAAGCGACGGCUAAAUACGUG